AGCAGCCGCGGUAAUCCCAGCUCCAAUAGCGUAUAUUAAAGUUGUUGCAGUUAAAAGCUCGUAGUUGAAUUUCGGGAUCAAUUGAUUGGUCAUGCCUACGGUAUGUACUAGUCAUAUUGGUUCUCACCUUCUAAUGAACCUUAAUGUCAUUCACUUGAUGUUUUGGGGAAUUAGGACUGUUACCUUGAAAAAUUAGAGUGUUAAAGCAGGCUUACGCUUGAAUACAUUAGCAUGGAAUAAUGAAAUAGGACAUCGCAUUCUAUUUUGUUGGUUUCUAGGAUCGAUGUAAUGAUUAAUAGGGAUAGUUGGGGGCAUUAGUAUUCAAUUGUCAGAGGUGAAAUUCUUGGAUUUAUUGAAGACUAACUACUGCGAAAAGCAUUUGCCAAGGAUGUUUUCAUUAAUCAAGAACGAAGUUAGGGGAUCGAAGACGAUCAGAUACCGUCGUAGUCUUAACCAUAAAACUAUGCCGACUAGGGAUCGGAUGAUGUUAAUUUUUAAAAUGACUCAUUGCGGCACCUUA
rnacentral:rRNA from 1 species